AAUUCCGGAUAGACUGCCAGACUCGGGACCGGGGGAGGUCAGAGGUACUCCAGGGGUAGCGGUGAAAUGUUGUAAUCCUUGGAGGACCACCGGUAGCGAAGGCGUCUGACUAGAACGGGUCCGACGGUGAGGGACGAAGCCCUGGGGCGCAAACGGGAUUAGAUACCCCGGUAGUCCAGGGUGUAAACGAUGUGGGCUUUGUAUUGGGGGCCCUACGUGGGCGCCCAGUGCCGUAGAGAAGUUGUUUAGCCCACCGCCUGGGAAGUACGGUCGCAAGGCUGAAACUUAAAGGAAUUGGCGGGGGAGCACUGCAACGGGAGGAGCGUGCGGUUUAAUUGGAUUCAACGCCGGAAAUCUCACCGGAGUAGACUGCCAGAUGUGAGCCAAGCUGAAGACCUUGCUCGAAUAAUAGGCAGAGAGGUGGUGCAUGGCCGCCGUCAGCUCGUACCGUAAGGCGUUCUGUUAAGUCAGAUAACGAGCGAGACCCCCGUCCUUAGUUGCUACUUUGGAAUCCGUUUCAAAGGCACACUAAGGGGACCGCUGGCGAUAAGUCAGAGGAAGGAGGGGGCAACGGUAGGUCAGUAUGCCCUGAAUGUUCCGGGCUAC
rnacentral:rRNA from 1 species